ensembl:lncRNA
AUGAAGGUAAUGGGAGACAUCUCACCCAAGAUCUCUGCAAAUACACUAUACUGUUUUCCUGGAGAAAACAUCUGCUCCCUUCUCCCAUUUGAUUUCCAGCAUCACCAUUUACCACCUGGGUGGAAUUGGGAGAGUUGUUUUAUCUUUCUGAGCCUUAGACUCUCAUCUGUAAAAUGGGCAUACUUCUUUCUAUCAGAAUUGCUCAUCACUCUUUGAGGUGCUGAGUGCUGGAUCUCUGCUUACCUAGGAGGUAGGCUGCUGGAGGAGAGGAACGAUUGAUUCUUUUCUUAUUUGUGUUCUCUCUUCACCCCCUGCCUCCCAACAGGCCUCAAUAGAGGCCUCUGGGACUCCUGGCUGCAUGAUGCUGCAAGAAAUUUGUAAGGACAGCCAGAGGCACCCAGGCCAAGCCCUCGGCUCCUAGGCAAAGGACCUGUUCCUGCUUCUAGGACUCUCUGGGAGCAGGUGACCACCCAGGGCUGGCAGCGCCUCAUCCCAGAGAAGUGGGAGCAAGAGGGCACCCGCCUGAGCUCAGAGGCCCAGGACAAGGGUUAGAGCGAGGAUUGAAUGGCUUAUUUUUGCGGGCGUUGCAUACAUAGUUGCGGUCCAUGCAAAGCCCUUAGGACAGCGUUUGCACACGAUGUGGACACAGAUGCACUGAGUCAAGAGACCUGCCCAAGGAAGGCAUCCAGAGCUGGAAUGUGAGCCCAGGUGGGGAUUCUGCCCUGGAGCAUCUGGACCUUACCCCAGGAGGCCCGUGAGUGAAGGGACGUGGCCAAGUCUCCUGGGUCAGGCCGAGACAGAUGGCUCAGUGGUAAAGACACCUGCCAAUGCAGGAGACGCAGGAGUUGCAAGUUUGAUCCCUGGAGAAGGAAAUGGGAGCUCGCUUCAGUACUCUUGCCUGGAAAAUCCCAUGGACAGAGAAGCCUGGUGGGCUGCAGUCCACAGGAUUGCAAGGAGUCGGACACUGAGUCACUGAGUAUGAGUGAUCUUACUGAACUGUAUCUUAUAAAUGGUUAAAAUGGUAAGUUUAUAUUAAAAGUACUUAACAAUCAAUUCUA